GAACUCGGCAGGUGGGGAAAAGGGAAAAAGGCUUUCCCUGCAACGGGGAGACCACGAGGCUUGGAGGACUGACAGGGUAGCGGGGAAGCUGAAGGGCAGAUGGUGUGGACUCGGGUGGUCCUUAGGAGCAGUGCUGAAGUAACUGGUUUUUAUCCUGCAGGAAUUAACCGACUUGCAGAGGGAUCCUCCUGCCCAGUGUUCUGCAGGACCUGUCGGUGAUGACUUGUUCCACUGGCAGGCCACCAUCAUGGGCCCGAAUGACAGUCCUUACCAAGGAGGUGUUUUCUUCCUGACCAUCCACUUUCCUACAGAUUACCCGUUCAAGCCCCCAAAGGUGAGGUCCCUCUCCCAACUCCCCUGAUGUUUGGAUGAAGGACAGCAUGUGACAAGGGGCCCUUCAAGUCAGGUAUAGGUAAAAAGAGCUGUACGUGGGGUUUCUCUGAGGGCCCACUGCUCCACCCUGUGGUGACAGUUUCCCAGGACUUUAAUUACUGGACUUUGAGAAUUAGCACCUGUUGUGAUCAAGGGUCAGUGGGGUGAGCUGGUGCUGGCCUUACUGAGGCCACAGUUUGAAUGCUUCUCCUUGUGACUGUAGCUGAGUCUGGUCAUGUCUCCAGGCUCUGGCUCCCUUCUCUGCAGUCCCUUAGAGUUAGGACAGGGGUUCUCAGCUGGGGUGAUUUUGCUACUGCCCCAGGGACAUUUGAGCAACAUCUUAGGAUAUUUUGGGUUAUCAAAACUGUGGUGAGGGAGUACUACUGGUAUCUAGUCGGCAAAGGCCAGGGUAUUCCAGGGAUUCCCUGCAGUGCACAGGAGAGCCACCCUUCCCAUGACAGAUAAUGAUCAGCCCCAAGUGUCAAUAGUGCCAAGGUGGACACACCCUGGUUUAGGACUGGUGAGUCACACCUUCACUUUUCUUUAUUAAGUUAAAAGAAUAGCAAGCCUCCUUUGCCCUUCAUGCACACACCAUCCCAUCAGUGGAGCUUUAGAGGGCAGUGCCACCAAAGGGAAGGAGAAGCCCAGGGAGCUGCCUCGACCACCCUGCCCUAGCAUGUCUUGUGCACCGCAGGUCGUCUCACUCCCUGGACCCUUGGACCUCAUACUCCUUCUCACCUGGGCUCUGCAUGGGUGGCCGAGCCUGCCCUGAGGCUCAUAGUCCUGUGGAGGAGACAGGGCAUUUAGCAUGUGAGCUACUCAGCACUGGGAAGGAGCACAAGCAGUGGUUGGCAGCAGGAGCCAGGGUGGUGGAGAGAUUGCCCUGAGAAAGGGGAACUGCAGGAGCUCAGCAAGAGGGCGGACAGGUCCCCAGGAAACUGCCCCAGGGGAGUGAGCCUGUGAGGAGUUGGGAAGGAGGCCAGAGGGGUACGGAUGGCCCCAGGAGUAGGGUCUGCACGCCGUUGUGGGGAUCGCCACACCGACACAAUCACUCUGCUGCCUUGUGGAGAAGAGGCUGGGGUUCAAGUGAUUCUCCUGCUUCAGCCUCCUGAGUAGCUGGGACUACAGGCACUCGCCACCACACGUGGCUAAUUUUUGUGUUAUUUUUAGUAGAGACAGGGUUUCACAAUGUUGGCCAAGCUGGUCUCGAACUCCUGGCCUUAGGUGAUCCACCCACCUCCGCCUCCCAAAGUGCUGGGAUUCCAAGUGUGAGCCACCACGCUUGGCCAGGUUGUGCAUUUUGUCAAGACUUACUCGAAAGUCCUGCAUCUGCAUCAGACCCCUUAGCUGAGGGGUUGUGAUAUUGCUGUGUCUUACUACCUUGACUUGGCCUUGAUGCCUCAAUUUGAGUCAGAGGCUUAGCUGCUGUUUUGCAUGUUGUUUAUCUGAGUCAAUGUGAAGAAGCCCCUUCUGUGCUCACCAGCUGCAGCUCUGUCCAGACAUCGCCACCAGAGGCUACCUGGUGCCUGAGCAUUUUAAAUCUUUGUUAAAUAUGCUUAGGAUCCCAGAGACCUUUUAAGCUUUUGGCAAGGGAGUGGGGUGUGCUGAGCAGGGCAAUGACAGAUGCUAAAAUAGCUUCACCACAUUGGAGUACAACUGCUGUUCAAGGGAGUUUGGUUGAAAAAUCAUAAGCAUGCUUCAUGGUGCUG
rnacentral:lncRNA from 1 species